rnacentral:rRNA from 1 species
GUCUACGGCCUUAUCACGUUGAUAACGCCGGUUCUCGUCCGAUCACCGAAGUUAAGCAACGUCCAGCCUAGUUAGUACUUGAAUGGGUGACCGCCUGGGAAUACCGGGUGAUGUAGGCU